rnacentral:rRNA from 1 species
GACGAACGCUGGCGGCGUGCUUAACACAUGCAAGUCGAACGGAAAGGCCCUGCUUUUGUGGGGUGCUCGAGUGGCGAACGGGUGAGUAACACGUGAGUAACCUGCCCUUGACUUUGGUAUAACUUCAGGAAACUGGGGCUAAUACCGGAUAGGAUCUCCUGCUGCAUGGUUGGGGUUGGAAAGUUUCGGCGGUUGGGGAUGGACUCGCGGCUUAUCAGCUUGUUGGUGGGGUAGUGGCUUACCAAGGCUUUGACGGGUAGCCGGCCUGAGAGGGUGACCGGCCACAUUGGGACUGAGAUACGGCCCAGACUGCUACGGGAGGCAGCAGUGGGGAAUAUUGCACAAUGGGCGGAAGCAUGAUGCAGCAACGCCGCGUGCGAGAUGACGGCCUUCGGGUUGUAAACCGCUUUCGCUUGAGACGAAGCGUGAGUGACGGUAAUGGGUAAAGAAGCACCGGCUAACUACGUG